GACGAACGCUGGCGGCGUGCUUAACACAUGCAAGUCGAACGGAAAGGCCCUGCUUUUGUGGGGUGCUCGAGUGGCGAACGGGUGAGUAACACGUGAGUAACCUGCCCUUGACUUUGGGAUAACUUCAGGAAACUGGGGCUAAUACCGGAUAUGAGCUCCUGCUGCAUGGUGGGGGUUGGAAAGUUUCGGCGGUUGGGGAUGUACUCGCGGCUUAUCAGCUUGUUGGUGGGGUAGUGGCUUACCAAGGCUUUGACGGGUAGCCGGCCUGAGAGGGUGACCGGCGACAAUGGGACUGAGAUACGGCCCAGACUCCUACGGGAGGCAGCAGUGGGGAAUAUUGCACAAUGGGGGGAAGCCUGAUGCAGCAACGUCGCGUGCGGGAUGACGGCCUUCGGGUUGUAAACCGCUUUCGCCUGUGACGAAGCGGGAGUGACGGUAAUGGGUAAAGAAGCACCGGCUAACUACGUG
rnacentral:rRNA from 1 species